rnacentral:misc_RNA from 1 species
GAGCAAGGGAUGGAACUCCCAGCAAACAAAAGAUCAAAGAGAUAACCUCUGAACUGGGUCAGCAUGGCCAAAUUUCUGAAUCUAAUGUCUAUAACUGGUUCCAAAACAGGCGUGCUCGAUCGAAGAGGAAGCAGCAAAGUACAGCCCCCGCCUAUGGCGAAUCAGAAGUGGAGACAGAAGUCGAGUCACCGAAAGAUAAGAAGACGAAACCUGUGGAUUUUCAAACUCAUCAAUCCUCUGCACCUUUGGGGGAUGACAUGUGCUUCCAAAGUCCCGAGAUGAGUUCUGAACUGCAUUUCCUGGAUCCAAACACCAACAAAGCUGAUACUUUGUUUCCUUCAAAUGGAAGUUUAAAAACGGCGAGAAGUUUCAGCCAGAUGUCUUUUUAUGAGGCAGGGAAUGAGCAGCUGGCAGGAAAGAUUGAAACGCCAGAGACCUAUAGUCUUUACCAGCAAGCAGAAGGCUACAGCAUGACCGAACGACCAUGAAUUCUUAUACAAUUAACACGAGGUGUAGUUGUCUUAUUACGAAUAUGCUGAACUUCUAGCUCUCAUGUGAAUGCAUUUAGUCUGAUAUUGAAGGAGACAGUGAUGACGAU